UGGGGAAUAUUGCACAAUGGGGGAAACCCUGAUGCAGCGACGCCGCGUGAACGAAGAAGGUAUUCGUAUCGUAAAGUUCUGUCCUAUGGGAAGAUAAUGACAGUACCAUAGAAGAAAGCUCCGGCUAAAUACGUGCCAGCAGCCGCGGUAAUACGUAUGGAGCGAGCGUUGUCCGGAAUUAUUGGGCGUAAAGGGUACGCAGGCGGUUUAAUAAGUCGAAUGUUAAAGAACGGGGCUCAACCCCGUAAAGCAUUGGAAACUGAUAAACUUGAGUAGUGGAGAGGAAAGUGGAAUUCCUAGUGUAGUGGUGAAAUACGUAGAUAUUAGGAGGAAUACCAGUAGCGAAGGCGACUUUCUGGACACAAACUGACGCUGAGGUACGAAAGCGUGGGGAGCAAACAGG
rnacentral:rRNA from 1 species